rnacentral:tRNA from 1 species
GUUUGUGGCUCAGUGGAAGAGUGCUCACCUAGUACGUGCAAGGCCCUGGGUUUGAUUCUCAGUACAACA